rnacentral:lncRNA from 1 species
UUACUUAAUACUUCUACAGACCAAUAUCCCACGGGUAAUCCUGGGAAUCGGAUCCAUAUAGGAACUGUGCUUAGAAUGCUUGCCUGAAAGCUGAAAUCCACCUCCCAUGGUCUUAACACCAUAGGCCUACCUCUAAAUGUGUAGGGACCAUAUUGCAUGACUGCAUCUCUAUCUUCAAUACUAUUGAAUCUGAAUAUACAAUAUCCUUCAGAAUGAANNNN